AUGUCGGAAAAGGGUCGCCCACUACCCAAAUUCGGUGAAUGGGAUGUCAAUGAUCCAGCCUCAGCUGAGGGGUUCACAGUCAUUUUUAAUAAGGCAAGAGAUGAGAAAAAGACAGGUGGCAAUACAGAGUCACCUGGAAAGACUGCCACUGAACCUCAAAGCAAACCUGCAUCAGAUCCCGGCAAACCUCAGAGUAAAAAAUGGUUUUGCUGCAUACAAAACCCUCCUGCAGAAUCAUAA